rnacentral:rRNA from 1 species
AGUCGGAAUCGCUAGUAAUCGUAGAUCAGAAUGCUACGGUGAAUACGUUCCCGGGCCUUGUACACACCGCCCGUCACACCAUGGGAGUGGGUUGCAAAAGAAGUAGGUAGCUUAACCUUCGGGAGGGCGCUUACCACUUUGUGAUUCAUGACUGGGGUGAAGUCGUAACAAGGUAACCGUAGGGGGAACCUGCGGUUGGAUCACCUCCUUACCUUAAAGAA